GGAUGAUUGAUUGUACCCGCCAGCUGGCUAACAUCAUAAUUAACAAAGUUGCUACCAUGUCUGAGAAGUUUAAUCGAAAAAAUUGCUGGCAGUAUGAUGGCAUUGUCACAGAGAUCACAAGCGCUGUGGUGUCGACUUUUGUAGUGGUAGUAAAGCCGCAAGACUAUGUAGAUGUACUGCGAAGUCGUUCACUGGGAUAACUAAA
rfam:Cuculus canorus isolate BGI_N303 unplaced genomic scaffold scaffold222, whole genome shotgun sequence.